CAGCUGGACAUUUCUGAAGCUGCUAAACACAGACCUGCAUUUCAAAUCGAGGACUGCUUCCUUUUGCAGGUGCAUUGACAAGACUGAAAUCUCAGAGGAUGCAGAAAAAGGAGGUUUUUCAGGAGCAUGCACAAAGUGUUGAAAAUCACAAGGAUUUGUAGUCUUCAGUUAGAAAAGCAAUGUUCUUGGAGGAUCCUGCCCAGCCCCUUGAUGGGGUAGGAAUGUUGGAGACACAGCACUGUGCCAGUGCUCAGCAACACCCAAAACACCAGUGUGUUACCAACACCUUUCCAUCUUGUCUCCUAAUAUUCACUGGUAAGGACUUACAGACCAGCCUUGUCACCUAAAGGUUUAUUUGCAUCAUCAGGCUUUGGGUCAUCACUACAGGCCAGGUGUUCAAUGGUUUCUUUGUUCUGUUUUUUCCCUGUGGUCACAC